rnacentral:rRNA from 1 species
UACGGAGGGUGCGAGCGUUGUUCGGAAUCACUGGGCGUAAAGGGCGUGUAGGCGGUCCGCUAAGUCUGAUGUGAAAGCCCGGGGCUCACCCCCGGAAGGGCAUUGGAAACUGACGGACUCGAGUCCGCAAGAGGAGGGUGGAAUUCCUGGUGUAGCGGUGAAAUGCGUAGAUAUCAGGAGGAACACCGAUGGCGAAGGCAAUCCCCUGGGCCCUGCACUGACGCUCAUGCACGAAAGCGUGGGGAGCAAACAGG